rnacentral:rRNA from 1 species
CUCUGAUGCAGCGACGCCGCGUGAGCGAUGAAGCCCUUCGGGGUGUAAAGCUCUUUCGACGGGAACGAUAAUGACGGUACCCGAAGAAGAAGCUGCGGCUAACUACGUGCCAGCAGCCGCGGUAAUACGUAGGCAGCAAGCGUUGUUCGGAAUUACUGGGCGUAAAGAGUGUGUAGGCGGUGUUCUAAGUCUGUUGUGAAAUCUCCCGGCUUAACUGGGAGGGUGCGGCGGAGACUGGAAUGCUAGAGUAUGGGAGAGGUAAGCGGAAUUCCUGGUGUAGCGGUGAAAUGCGUAGAUAUCAGGAGGAACACCUGUGGUGUAGACAGCUUACUGGACCAUGACUGACGCUGAGACACGAAAGCGUGGGUAGCAAACAGGAUUAGAUACCCUGGUAGUCC